rnacentral:tRNA from 1 species
UAGCUCAGUCAGUAGAGCAUAGCGCUAACAAUGCUAAGGUCGCGGGUUCGAUUCCCAU